CUUCGACGGAAGGGCGGGGCGGGGCACACCCACAACCCUCCCAGGAGCAGCCGCUCCCGGCCCCUCCCACUGCCCGCCUUGCCCGGGCGGUGACCUAAAACACCAGCUCCAGAGACACACGCCCCAAACACAGGCCACUCUGAGUCACCCCUGGGGACACUGGCAGGCACACAGGCUCCUGCUGAGAGCAAGGGAAGCAGGUGGUAAAGAUCUGGGGCUCCGGCAGCAGCACAAGAGGGGCCAGGCCCACGGCUUUCCAGCUCGUGGAGGUGGACACGGUCAUGAGGCUGGACUUCGGGCUGGAGGCCCUGCCAGCCCCCCAGGUCUCCUCCACCCACCCCCAAGAGGCACAGGAUUGCACCGAAGGCCGCAGACUCCAAAAGCUGCAGUGCAGGUGGAAGAGGCUCCCUGGGAAGCAGCCCUAGCCCCAUCCUUGCCUGGCCUGAGUCAGGAGCUGCGAGCACAGGGGAUUUCCUCCACUUCACUCUUCUUCCUGGUCCUCAAUACUGCCCCUGCCUCAAAGGUCCCUCCGACCUGUGCCCUUCAAGCGAUCCCAGGGCGGGGCCCAGCCCUGCACUCC
rnacentral:lncRNA from 1 species